CGCUGGCGGCAGGCCUAACNCAUGCAAGUCGAGCGCACCCUUCGGGCCGAGCGGCGGACGGGUUAGUAACGCGUGGGAAUGUACCCAGAUCUACGGAAUAGCCUCGGGAAACUGAGAGUAAUACCGUAUACGCCCUUCGGGGGAAAGAUUUAUCGGAUUUGGAUCAGCCCGCGUUAGAUUAGAUAGUUGGUGGGGUAAUGGCCUACCAAGUCUACGAUCUAUAGCUGGUUUUAGAGGAUGAUCAGCAACACUGGGACUGAGACACGGCCCAGACUCCUACGGGAGGCAGCAGUGGGGAAUCUUAGACAAUGGGCGCAAGCCUGAUCUAGCCAUGCCGCGUGUGUGAUGAAGGCCUUAGGGUCGUAAAGCACUUUCGCCAGAGAUGAUAAUGACAGUAUCUGGUAAAGAAACCCCGGCUAACUCCGUGCCAGCAGCCGCGGUAAUAC
rnacentral:rRNA from 1 species